CCUACGGGUGGCAGCAGUGGGGAAUAUUGCACAAUGGGGGAAACCCUGAUGCAGCGACGCCGCGUGAGUGAAGAAGUAAUUCGUUAUGUAAAGCUCUAUCAGCAGGGAAGAAAAUGACGGUACCUGAGUAAGAAGCCCUGGCUAACUACGUGCCAGCAGCCGCGGUAAUACGUAGGGGGCAAGCGUUAUCCGGAUUUACUGGGUGUAAAGGGAGCGUAGACGGGAGUGCAAGUCUGGAGUGAAAGGCGGGGGCUCAACCCCCGGACUGCACUGGAAACUGUACGGCUGGAGUGCAGGAGAGGUAAGUGGAAUUCCUAGUGUAGCGGUGAAAUGCUUAGAGAUUAGGAGGAACACCAGUGGCGAAGGCGGCUUACUAAACUGUAACUGACAUUGAGGCUCGAAAGCGUGGGGAGCAAACAGGAUUAGAUACCCCAGUAGUC
rnacentral:rRNA from 1 species